rnacentral:rRNA from 1 species
GACGAACGCUGGCGGCGUGCUUAACACAUGCAAGUCGAGCGACGCUCUUCCUUCGGGGAGAUGACGGAGCGGCGAACGGGUGAGUAACACGUGGGCAACCUGCCCCUAGCUCUGGGACAACACCGGGAAACCGGUGCUAAUACCGGAUACGACAUCGAGCGGCAUCUCUCGAUGUGGAAAGUUUUUUCGGCUAGGGAUGGGCCCGCGGCCCAUCAGCUUGUUGGUGGGGUAAUGGCCCACCAAGGCGACGACGGGUAGCCGGCCUGAGAGGGCGACCGGCCACACUGGGACUGAGACACGGCCCAGACUCCUACGGGAGGCAGCAGUGGGGAAUAUUGCGCAAUGGGCGAAAGCCUGACGCAGCGACGCCGCGUGAGGGAUGACGGCCUUCGGGUUGUAAACCUCUUUCAGCAGGGACGAAUUCAGACGGUACCUGCAGAAGAAGCACCGGCCAACUACGUG